CAAGGUGUGGCUGCUUAUGCACCACAUUUUCUUAUCAUCAUCUUCUCGUCUUUGUCAAAAAAUGAAACAUUCAUUUCUCACCCGAGAAGCAAAGCAGCAGCAAGACAGAUCUGUGAGGUUCUGUAAUGGAAAUGGAAAUGGGUUGUUGACCUAAUUUUGGUGGAGCUAAUCAAUUUCAAAGAAGGGGAUUUGAGGCAAGAAUACAGGAAUUGUAGCUACAGAAAUUUGGGGAUUUUCGGAGUGCAAAGGCAAGAGCGGUGAUUCAAUUGACUUGACUUAACGCCUGCAGAAUGAGUUCGAUUGUGAACUGGUGAUGCUCAAGGCAUCUCUUCUCAAUCAAUUUGUUGUUGAUGUAUGGGGUUCUCGAUUUUCUAGUGGUCUUUAUAGCGAAUUAGGUCUGAGUUUUGGGGGUUCGAAGUUAAAUGAUGAUGAGUACUUGUUUAGUGGAUCUGUGGUUUAAAGUAUUGAAGGGUCCUUACUGUGAAUUUUGGUCCGAACAAGAAGAGAUUAACAGCAGCAACGUUCCAGUAGGCAAUGAAGUUAGCUGAAUAGGUUUGAUGUUAAUGGAAUGGAAGCUGGGGGUUUCUCGGUGGUUGAUUACUUGCAGUUUUGUUUCAAUUCGUACAAGGAGGUGCAGACUGUGGCCGGAGUUGGAUGCUAUGGCCUGACUUUGGAAGGGCCUGAAUUAAGAAAGUGGAGGUUGUGAUUGGACUGGGAUUUGGUGGUCGCUGUCACCAAUACAAGAGAAGAACUAGAGUGCUAUUUAAGGAAGGAAUGAGGAGAAGAAAAGGGGGACGGUAAUCAGGGAAGAAACUAGGUUUUGCUAUUUUGCUUUCUGCAAUUCAUAUGCUUUACUUGUUAUUAUCUAUAUUAUUUUUGAUGGCUUUUAAGAAAACCAUGUCUAGCUAAACUCCUCAUUAGGGUGAAAGAUGAACUUGUAGGUUGAAUUUACUUGUGUUCUCAAACAAUGGUUUCAAAAAUAAAAGCUUAACGUAAUGUUUGUGUUUCUCAAAA